rnacentral:lncRNA from 1 species
AGUUUGCCCAGAUUUGCCAGAGCCCUAAAUAAAAUGGCAAAACGAUCUCCCUGCCUGCUUCUCCUCCCCACCCCCACUUACAUGCACACCGUAAAUCAAGAAAUGCUUUUUGGGCAAUUAGACUUUAUCUUCUAAAUUUUUGCAUAGAAUGGCUAAACAUGAUCUUUUGCCUCACUUUGUAAUUCCUACACCUUCCUUGUAAGCUUCACCUUUUGCUUACCUAAUAUUUUAUUUAAACAUGGUUUUUUAAAAAACCUGAAGCUUUAAAAUCAUAGUCAUAAUUAAUUUUACACUAAAGGACAGAAGAAAUUAUACAACACAUAAAAGAAGCCACUACUUCACAUAGCAAGCAAAUUGAAAUCAAAAUGACAGAAGAAUGAGAAAUUCUUUAAAAGCUUCAGGUUUUUUUUGUUGUUGUUGUUAAAUUCCUGCAUGAUGCAUCAUGUGCAAGGGAAACUUAAUAUACUUUUACACCCUUAACCUUUAUAAAGUGACUAGCUUUUCCCUUAACAUAGGAAUUUUUAACCUGGAGCCCAGAUUUUUGAGAGUACACACAAAAUUGUGGGUUUGUGUGCAUGUACAUAUGUCCAUUUUUUUCUAGGGAGAAGAUCCAUAGUUAUUAGAUUUGUGAAGGAUUUGGUGAUCCCCUUCUCCCAUCAAAAAAAAAAAAAAAAAGAACAGCUGCCUUGAAAUGUUUUUAGUGCCACUUUAGGGAAUAGAGUCCUGUACUGAAUGAUUUUAGUUGUAUGAUGAAUUAUAAGUGCCUCUUUAUUUUCUCUAAGAUUGCAUUAGAAAAUAUUUUUUUCUGACUAAUAAUGCUUUCCUUUUCAUUCUAUUAUUGAAUUUUGGUUUUCCAUGUGUUACUUUUGUGUACUCUCCCCUUAUUUCAACAAAGCAUUAAUUAAAUAUUUGAGUACCUAUUCUGUAUAGUGACUUGAACUAGAUCUUUAGAGAUACAAGGUUGAAUAAAAUACAGACCCUAUCAUCAAGGAUAAUUCUAGUGACAAUUAUAUUUCACAUUAUUUCUGUCAGGUCUUGAUAAUAUUUUAAUCACAGGAACCACCAUAGCAGUCCAGACUCAUUUUAUUAUUUAUCAUCUCUCAGUAACUGCUCCGACAGUGGCAACAAAGGGUAUUGAAUACUUAUAUUUCAAAUUUUAAAAUUUAUGAUAAUUUGGAGGGAGGUGAAAAAACCUUACUAGGAAAGACAAACAUUCAUUAUUCUACGUGUGUGUGAGCUCAUGUCUCUUACUCUUAGCAUCCUGGGAAUUAAGUACAGCCUUCUGUGUAGGUGUUCCUUUAAAGAAAACAACUUUAAUGCAUUUUACCUCUGCACAUUUCCACUGACAUGACUCCUAUUUGUACAGUGUUCCGAGCACUGUCAAGACUGCCAGAGCUCUGGCACAGGUCCAUAGGUACUCCCACGGAGGCAUUGCCUCAGAAAGACAAGAGAAAGGAACAAAUUGCAGUUGCUUUGAAAUCUUACAGUGGCCUAUAGGGGUUGGGAUAGGGCAGUAAGGAGAUCCAGCUGAGGUAUUCAGGGACUGGUAAGCUUGGAUAAGUGUGUUUAAAGCCUUGAAAACCAGAAGAAGAGUUUAGUCUUGAUGUGAAUGUGGUCAGUGGUAGAGAACUAUAGGUUCUUAGCAAAAAUGUAGUUUGAACAUAGCAUUUUAAGAACAGUAAUGGGGUAAUAGAUUUGAUUGCAAUUAGGACCGGUUAGAAAGUAAUUCCAGUAGUAUGCCAUUGCUGGCCAGUGCAAAUAAGUUGGCCUAGACUAGCACAGUAGUGGUUGGAAUGGAGAAGAACUAUGAAUUAG